rnacentral:rRNA from 1 species
GGAGCCGUAGGGAAACCGAGUCUUAACUGGGCGUUCAGUCUCUGGAUAUAGACCCGAAACCAGGUGAUCUAGCCAUGGGCAGGUUGAAGGUUGAGUAACAUCAACUGGAGGACCGAACCGACUAAUGUUGAAAAAUUAGCGGAUGACUUGUGGCUAGGGGUGAAAGGCCAAUCAAACCUGGAGAUAGCUGGUUCUCCCCGAAAGCUAUUUAGGUAGCGCCUCGGACGAAUACUACUGGGGGUAGAGCACUGUUAAGGCUAGGGGGUCAUCCCGACUUACCAACCCUUUGCAAACUCCGAAUACCAGUAAGUACUAUCCGGGAGACACACGGCGGGUGCUAACGUCCGUCGUGGAGAGGGAAACAACCCAGACCGCCAGCUAAGGUCCCAAAUUACUACUAAGUGGGAAACGAUGUGGGAAGGCUCAGACAGCCAGGAUGUUGGCUUAGAAGCAGCCAUCAUUUAAAGAAAGCGUAAUAGCUCACUGGUCGAGUCGGCCUGCGCGGAAGAUGUAACGGGGCUAAGUAG